AAAUAUUACUAGGGGUGCCUUUAGGCACGAGUAAAAACAAUAGAUCGAUAUAAAUUGCCUAUUAUUUUUAUUCAUGUGGCUAAAUGCUGAGAGAGUAUAUUAUAUGCUCAACCCUUUGAACCUGAUUUGGUUAGAACCAACGCAGGGAAGUGAGUUUAAUUAUGC
rnacentral:ncRNA from 2 species